UUUAAUAUAGCAUAUUUAAUGUAAUGAAUUUAAGAUUCAUAGAUAAAAUUUUAUUUUUUAUUAAAA